rnacentral:rRNA from 1 species
GCGCAGCAGGCGAGAAUCCUUCGCAAUGCGGGAAACCGCGACGAGGGGACUCCCAGUGCCUACGCUCAGCGUAGGCUGUUCCCGAGCCUAGAAAGCUCGGGGAGUAAGGGCUGGGUAAGACGGGUGCCAGCCGCCGCGGUAAUACCCGCAGCCCGAGUGGUGGCCACUAUUAUUGGGCCUAAAGCGUCCGUAGCCGGCCCGGUAAAUGCCUGGGUAAAUCGUGAGGCCUAACCUCACGAAUUCCGGGUAGACUGCCGGGCUAGGGACCGGAGGAGGGAGAGGGUACUCCAGGGGUAGGGGUGAAAUCCUGUAAUCCCUGGAGGACCACCGGUGGCGAAGGCGCUCUCCUAGGACGGGUCCGACGGUGAGGGACGAAAGCCAGGGGAGCGAACCGGAUUAGAUACCCCGGUAGU